rnacentral:rRNA from 1 species
CCUACGGGUGGCAGCAGUGAGGAAUAUUGGUCAAUGGACGAGAGUCUGAACCAGCCAAGUAGCGUGAAGGAUGACUGCCCUAUGGGUUGUAAACUUCUUUUAUAUGGGAAUAACAUGUUCCACGUGUGGGAUUUUGUAUGUACCAUAUGAAUAAGGAUCGGCUAACUCCGUUCCAGCAGCCGCGGUAAUACGGAGGAUUCGUGCGUUAUCAGGAUUUAUUGGGUUUAAAGGGAGCGUAGGUGGAUUGUUAAGUCAGUUGUGAAAGUUUGCGGCUCAACCGUAAAAGUGCAGUUGAAACUGGCAGUCUUGAGUACAGUAGAGGUGGGCGGAAUUCGUGGUGUAGCGGUGAAAUGCUUAGAUAUCACGAAGAACUCCGAUUGCGAAGGCAGUUCACUGGACUGCAACUGACACUGAGGCUCGAAAGUGUGGGUAUCAAACAGGAUUAGAUACCCCAGUAGUC